rnacentral:siRNA from 1 species
AUUCGACACCAAAACACUAACCAA